GACGAACGCUGGCGGCGUGCUUAACACAUGCAAGUCGAACGGUAAGGCCCUUCGGGGUACACGAGUGGCGAACGGGUGAGUAACACGUGGGUGAUCUGCCCCGCACUUCGGGAUAAGCCUGGGAAACUGGGUCUAAUACCGGAUAGGACCCUGGGAUGCAUGUCCUGGGGUGGAAAGCUUUUGCGGUGUGGGAUGGGCCCGCGGCCUAUCAGCUUGUUGGUGGGGUGAUGGCCUACCAAGGCGACGACGGGUAGCCGGCCUGAGAGGGUGACCGGCCACACUGGGACUGAGAUAUGGCCCAGACUCCUACGGGAGGCAGCAGUGGGGAAUAUUGCACAAUGGGCGCAAGCCUGAUGCAGCGACGCCGCGUGAGGGAUGACGGCCUUCGGGUUGUAAACCUCUUUCAGCACCGACGAAGCGCAAGUGACGGUAGGUGCAGAAGAAGGACCGGCCAACUACGUGCCAGCAGCCGCCGUAA
rnacentral:rRNA from 1 species